rnacentral:rRNA from 1 species
ACGCCGUAAACGAUGCUAACUCGUUUUUGGAAUGUAAGUUUCAGAGACUAAGCGAAAGUGAUAAGUUAGCCACCUGGGGAGUACGAACGCAAGUUUGAAACUCAAAGGAAUUGACGGGGGCCCGCACAAGCGGUGGAUUAUGUGGUUUAAUUCGAUGAUACGCGAGGAACCUUACCAAGGCUUAAAUGGGAAAUGACAGGUUUAGAAAUAGACUUUUCUUCGGACAUUUUUCAAGGUGCUGCAUGGUUGUCGUCAGCUCGUGCCGUGAGGUGUUAGGUUAAGUCCUGCAACGAGCGCAACCCCUGUCACUAGUUGCCAUCAUUAAGUUGGGGACUCUAGUGAGACUGCCUACGCAAGUAGAGAGGAAGGUGGGGAUGACGUCAAAUCAUCACGGCCCUUACGCCUUGGGCCACACACGUAAUACAAUGGCCGGUACAGAGGGCAGCUACACUGCGAAGUGAUGCAAAUCUCGAAAGCCGGUCUCAGUUCGGAUUGGAGUCUGCAACUCGACUCUAUGAAGCUGGAAUCGCUAGUAAUCGCGCAUCAGCCAUGGCGCGGUGAAUACGUUCCCGGGCCUUGUACACACCGCCCGUCAAGCCAUGGAAGUCUGGGGUACCUGAAGUCGGUGACCGUAACAGGAGCUGCCUAGGGUAAAACAGGUAACUAGGGCU